rnacentral:rRNA from 1 species
UACGGAGGGUGCGAGCGUUGUCCGGAAUUUAUUGGGCGUAAAGAGCUCGUAGGCGGCUUGUCACGUCGAUUUGUGAAAGCCCGAGGCUUAACCUCGGGUCUGCAGUCGAUACGGGCUAGCUAGAGUGUGGUAGGGGAGAUCGGAAUUCCUGGUGUAGCGGUGAAAUGCGCAGAUAUCAGGAGGAACACCGGUGGCGAAGGCGGUUCUCUGGGCAUUACCUGACGUGAGGAGCGAAAGUGUGGGGAGCGAAACAGG